AAGAUUAUCAAUCAGCCCAGGGAAUGGCAUUUGAGAACGAAGCAGAAGUGUCUCACGUCAUUUUGUACUUCAACAACAAUGAGCAAUAUUAUUACAGAAACGCUAACUUGCGUUUGCUGAUUUCCGGAACAUGUCAAGAUUCUGCCAACAACAUCGGCACUGACUGCGCCACAUAUCCGGGACCCCCUGCAUCACCCCCUUCCACCGGUGAAAAUCACGUGUACACUUCCGGUCACAGAAAAAUUCUUGAAGAUUAUGGUCACUGGCCAUCACCUUAAUUUAUGCGAAGUGGAGGUUUUUUCUACAUAGAUGUCGCUCUGGCGGCCAUUUUUUAAAGGCACAUUAUACCUCAGAUACACAUUUGUUUAUUCUUUAGAAAUGUCAAACAUGUGUUUGAUAAUGUUUUAAAUAAUGGAUUUAGAGCAUGUGACAUGUUUAACAACCGAAAAAAGUAACAAAGAACAUAAAGUAAAGUGUUGUAAAGAUAUCAAAAUAUAAACAAACUUUAAGUAGUUGUUUGACUUCCAUACAAAAUACUCAUUCCAAAUAAAUUUAUCAAUUGGAGGCAAAAGAUAAUUCC